GACGAACGCUGGCGGCGUGCUUAACACAUGCAAGUCGAACGGAAAGGCGCUGCUUUUGUGGGGUGCUCGAGUGGCGAACGGGUGAGUAACACGCGAGUAUCCUGCCCCUGUCUUUGGGAUAACUUCUGGAAACAGGGGCUAAUAUCGGAGAGGAGCUCCUGCUGCGUGGGGGGGGUUGGAGAGUGUCGGCUGUGGUGGAUGUACUCGCAGGUUAUCCGCUUGUUUGUGUGGUAGUUGCUGACCACGGGUUCGACGGGUAGCCCGCCUGAGAGCGUGGACGGCCACAAUACGACUGAGAUAGGGAGCAGUAUGCUACGGGAGGCAGCGGUGGGAAAUCUUGCACAGUGGGCGGAAGUCUGAUGCAGAAACGCUGCGUGCGGAAUGACGGCCUUCGGGUUGUAAACCACUUUCGACUGUACCGUAGCGUGAGUGACGGUAAUGGGUAAAGAAGCCCCGGCUAACUACGUG
rnacentral:rRNA from 1 species